AGGUGAUUGGGAUCUGGAGAGUGAGCUGUGUUCAGGGGAUCUAGGUGUUUGAGAGUGUGAGCUGGAAAGUGAGCUGCGUUCAGGGGAUCUACGUGUUUGAGAGUGUGAGUUGGAAGCAGACAUUCAAGACAAAGGUGUUAAAGUUGGGAGGUCCUUUCUUCAUCUCUGGAGGUGGCAGUUGUUGACUAUGACCAUCCACAGUCAUCAACAUGCUUUUUUUACCCUGAAGCUGUCGAAAAAUACUGUGACUUAUGAGGAUUUUGAAAAAGAUAUGAUGACAUCUCCAACAUAUCCUCUCAAUAUAACUGCAUUUACCCUGAAAAAUGUUUGUCAUAAUCUUCGUCUUCUGAGGAGUAAGAAAUAUCGGACCAAUACGCAGCGUGAGUGCAAUCGAUGGUGGUUCCAGCCGUCCUUGAAGAACUGCAGGUGCCUUUGGAUUUGUGGAAGAAAGUUCCAGUGCAGGGCAUAGAUGUGGGUCUCUUCAUCUAGUUUGAGUAGACCCUCCCUCUCCAGGUUGCAGAAAGAAGUAUAGAAGAGGUCCACCACCCCCAAAGACAUCACUCCACAGUCGUUCUAUCCUGGAUAAAGAGACAACGGUUCAAAGACAUCCCUCCACAGUCGUUCUAUCCUGGAUAAAGAGACAAAGGUCCAAAGACAUCCCUCCACAGUCGUUCUAUCCUGGAUAAAGAGACAACGGUUCAAAGACAUCCCUCCACAGUCGUUCUAUCCUGGAUAAAGAGACAACGGUUCAAAGACAUCCCUCCACAGUCGUUCUAUCCUGGAUAAAGAGACAACGGUUCAAAGACAUCCCUCCACAGUCGUUCUAUCCUGGAUAAAGAGACAAAGGUCCAAAGACAUCCCUCCACAGUCGUUCUAUCCUGGAUAAAGAGACAACGGUCCAAAGACAUCCCUCCACAGUCGUUCUAUCCUGGAUAAAGAGACAAAGCAGAAAAGCACAAGAGUGUGAGAGAAAGAGAUAUGUCAUUAUUGUUAAUCAUAAAAUCACCACAGUUGUCUACAGUCACAACUCUUUCUAUGCAAAAGAAUGUUUACUAAUCAGAGCAAUUUAGCAUGUGACCUAACUCACUGGGGUGGCGUCUGCGCUGCAUUAAGUGCUCUACUAACCGCCACAGAGCAACGUUUAUGCCAGAGGCAUAUUCAACAAGCUGGGACAAUGAUCAGGAUGUAUUUGUUAUAUAUGUGUAAAGCCUAUGUGGCGUCUGCGCUGCAUUAAGUGCUCUACUAACCGCCACAGAGCAACUAAACCUAACAGAACCACAAUGUCAAUCUGAUAACUCAUUGGCUUCUUAAACAUGUUUUUAUGCAAAUUAACAAAACAUAAUUGGCCUUUUAAGCUAAUAAGGUUGAUUUGAAGAAGUAUGAAAAU
rnacentral:lncRNA from 1 species